rnacentral:rRNA from 1 species
GACGAACGCUGGCGGCGUGCUUAACACAUGCAAGUCGAACGCUGAAGCUCAGCUUGCUGGGUGGAUGAGUGGCGAACGGGUGAGUAACGCGUGAGUAACCUGCCCUCUUCUUUGGGAUAACGCCCGGAAACGGGUGCUAAUACUGGAUAUUCACUGAUUCUCGCAUGGGGGUUGGUGGAAAGGUUUUUUCUGGUGGGGGAUGGGCUCGCGGCCUAUCAGCUUGUUGGUGGGGUGAUGGCCUACCAAGGCUUUGACGGGUAGCCGGCCUGAGAGGGUGACCGGUCACAUUGGGACUGAGAUACGGCCCAGACUCCUACGGGAGGCAGCAGUGGGGAAUAUUGCACAAUGGGCGAAAGCCUGAUGCAGCGACGCCGCGUGAGGGAUGGAGGCCUUCGGGUUGUAAACCUCUUUCGCUCAUGGUCAAGCCGCAGCUUUGGGUUGUGGUGAGGGUAGUGGGUAAAGAAGCGCCGGCUAACUACGUG